rnacentral:lncRNA from 10 species
CCACAACCUUCAAACUAGAACAGCAGCACCAGCUACUCCCUGGGUCUCCAGCUCCCUCAAAAUUCAACUAUAGCACUGGCUGUUCCCCAGCGCCACCAGCUCCACAACCCUCAACUUACACGGUGGUAGCACCAGCUCCUCCCUAGGUCUCCAGCUACACGACCGUCAAACUUGAACUGCAACACCAGCUCCUCUUCGGCCUCCAGCUCCACAAUCCUCCAACAACAACAGCAACACCGGCUCCUCCCUGAAUCUCCAGCUCAACAACCCUCAGACUUGAGAGGCAGCACCGGCACCUCCCCAAGGCUCCAGCUCCAUGACCCUCAGAUUUGAACAGCGGUAGCACCAGCUCCUGUCCAGGUCUCCAGCUUCAUGAUCCUUAAACUAGAACAGCAGCACCACCACCUCCCUAGGUUUCCAGCUCCACGACCCUAAGACAUGAAUGGCAGGACCGGGUUCCCCGCUAGGGCUCCAGCUCCAAGACCCACAGAUAUAAACGGCAGCACCGGCUCUUCCUGGGAUCUCCAGCUCCACAGCCUUCAAACACGAUCAGCAGCACCAGCUCCCCUCUGGUUCUCCAGCUCCACAAUCCUCAGACAUGAACAGCAGCACAGGCUCCUCCUUGGGUCUCCAGCUUCUCUACCCUCAGACUAGAACAGCAACACUUGUUCCUCCCUGGGUCUCCAGCUCUUACAAGUCUCAGACUUGAAAGGCAGCACUGGCUCCUCAGAAAGUUUCUGGCUCCAAGCUGGUGCUGCUGUCCUAGUUUGAAGGUCAUGGAGCUGGAGACCCGGGGAGGAACCAUUUGAACAGCAGCACUGGCCCCUCCCCGGGUCUCAGGCUCCACGACCCUCAGACUUAAAAAGCCGUAGUACGGGCUUCUCCCUGGGUCUCCAUCUCUACAACCCUCAGACAUGAACAGCAGCAGCACCGCCCCCUCCCCCUGUCUCCAGUUCCACGAACCUCAAACUACAACAGCAGUACCGGCCUCUCCCCAGGUCUCCAGAUCCACGACCCUCAAAAUAGAAUGGCAUCACCGGCUCCUCCCUGGGUCUCCAGCUCCCAAACUCUCAAACUUCAAUUGACACACCGGACCCUCCCCACAGUUAAACAGCAGCACGGGCUGUUCCCCAAAGCUCCAGAUCCACGACCCUCUGACUUAAAGGGCGAUAGCACCAACUCCUCCCUAAGUCUCCAGUUCCACGACCCUCAAACUACACAGCAGCACCGGCUCCUCCUUGGGUCUCCAGUUCCAUGACCCUCAAACUACACAGCAGCACCGGCUCCUCCCCAGGUCUAUAGCUCCACCACCCUCACACUAGACAUCAAGACUACCUCCUUCCCGCUCUCCAGCUACACGACCCUCAAACUUGAACAGCAGCAGCAGCUCCUCCCUAGAUUUCCAGCUCCAUGACCCUAAACCUGCAACAGCAGCACCAGCUCCUCCCUGUACCUCAAGCCCCAUGACCCUCUGACUUGAUCAACAGCAACAGCAGCUCCCUCCCUGGUCUCCAGCUCCACAACCUUCAGCCUUAAACAGCAGCAGCACCAGCUCCUCCCUGGGUCUCCAGCUCCACAACCCUCAGACUAGAACCGCACCCCUCCUCCCUGAGUCUCCAGCUCCAUGACCGUCAAACUACAACAGCAACACAGGUUCCUGUCUGGAUCUCCAGCUCAGCAACUCUCAGAUGAGGCAGCACCGGCAACUCACCAAGGCUCCAGCUCCACAACCCUCAGAUUUGAAUAAUGGUAGCACCAGCUCCUGUCCAGAUCUCCAGCUUCAUGAUCCUUAAACUAGAACAGCAGCACCGCUGCCUCCCUGGGUUUCCAGCUCCACGACCCUAAGACAUGAAUGGCAGAACCGGCUUCCCACAAGGGUUCCAGCUCCAGGACCCACAGAUUUAAAUGGCAGCACUGGCUCUUCCCAGGAUUUCCAGCUCCACUACCCUCAAACUAGAAGAGGAGCACCGGCUCCUCCCUGGGUCUCCAGCUCCCAAACCCUCAGACAUCACCUGACACACUGGAUCCUCCCCACAGUUACAUAGCAGCACGGGCUGUCCCCGAAAACUCGAGAUCCACAACCCUCUGACUUCAAUGGCGGUAGUACUGGUUCCUCCCUAGGUCUCCAGUUCCAUGACCCUCAAACUACACAGCAGCACCAGCUCCUCCCCAGGUCUACAGCUCCACCACCCUCACACUAGACACCAGGACUACCUCCUCCCCGCUCUCCAGCUACACGACCCGCAGAUUUGAACAGCAGCAGCGUCUCCUCCCUGUACCUCAAGCCCCAUAACCCUCAUAUAUGAACAACAGCAAUACCAGCUAAUGCCUAGGGCUCCAGCUCCAGGAUCCACAGAUUUAAACUGCAGCACCAGCUCGUCCAAGGAUCUCCAGCUCCACCACCCUCAGACUAGAACAAGACCUCUACUCCCUGGGUCGCGAGCUUCCGGACCCUCGAACUAUGAAAACAUUGCUCCUCCCUGGGUCCGCAGCUCCACGACCCUCAAACCAGAUCAAGAUCUCUCCUCCCUGUGUCGUCAGCUUCCUGACCCUUGAACUAUGACAACAUUGCUCCUCCCUGGGUCAGCAGCUCCACAACCCUCAAACCAGAUCAAGAUCUCUCCUCCCUGGGUCGCCAGCUUCCUGACCCUCGAACAACAGAAACAUUACUCCUCCCUGGGUCAGCAGCUCCAUGAUCCUCAAACUAGAAUGAGACCUCUCCUCCCUGCGUCGCCAGCUUCUGGACCCUUGAACUAUGAAAAUAUUGCUCCUCCCUGGGUCGGGAGCUCCAUGACCCUCAAACUAGAACAAGACCUCUCCUCCCUAGGUCUGCAGCUUCCAGUCCCUCAAAUAACAACAUUGCUCCUCCCUGGAUCUGCAGCUCCACGACCCUCAGACUAGAACACGAUCUGUCCUCCCUGGGUCACCAGCUUCCGAACCUUCGAACUAAAACAACAUUGCUCCUCCCUGGGUCUGCAGCUCCACGACCCUCAAACUAGAAAAAGACCUCUCCUCACUGUGUCGCCAGCUUCUGGACCCUCGAACUACAAAAACAUUGCUCCUGCCUGGGUCUGCAGCUCCACGACCCUCAAUCCAGAUCAAGAUCUCUCCUCCCUGUGUCAUCAGCUUCCUGACCCUCGAACUAUGACAGCAUUGCUCCUCCCUGGGCGCACCCUCAAACUAGAACAAGACCUCUCCACCCUGCGUCGCCAGUUUCCGGAGCCUCAAACUAAAACAACCUUGCUCCUCCCUGGGUCUGCAGCUCCACAACCCUCAAACUAGAACCAGACCUCUCCUCCCUGUGUUGCCAGCUUCCUGACCCUUGAACUAUGGAAACAUGGCUCCUCCCUAGGUCUGCAGCUCCACGACCCUCAAACUAAAACAAGAUCUCUCCUCCCUGGGUCUGCAGCUCCACGACCCUCAAACUAAAACAAGAUCUCUCCUCCCUGUGUCAUCAGCUUCCAGUCCCUCAAAUAACAACAUUGCUCCUCCCUGGGUCUGCAGCUCCACGACCCUCAAACUAAAACAAGACCUCUCCUCUCUAGGUCUGCAGCUUCCAGUCCCUCAAAUAACAACAUUGCUCCUCCCUGGAUCUGCAGCUCCAUGACUCUCAGACUACAACAAGAUCUCUCCUCCCUGGGUCACCAGCUUCCGGACCCUCGAACUACGAAAACAUUGCUCCUCCCUGGGUCUCCAGCUCCAUGACCCUCAAACUAAAACAAGAUCUCUCCUCCCUGUGUCAUCAGCUUCCAGUCCCUCAAAUAACAACAUUGCUCCUCCCUGGGUCUGCAGCUCCACGACCCUUAAACUAGAACAAGACCUCUCCUCACUGUGUCGCCAGCUUCCGGACCCUUGAACUAUGAAAACAUUGCUCCUCCCUGGGUCCGCAGCUCCACGACCCUCAAACUAAAACAAGAUCUCUCCUCCCUAGGUCUGCAGCUUCCAGUCCCUCAAAUAACAACAUUGCUCCUCCCUGGAUCUGCAGCUCCACGACCCUCAGACUAGAACAAGACCUCUCCUCCCUGAGUCACCAGCUUCCGAACCUUCGAACUAAAACAACAUUGCUCCUCCCUGGGUCCGCAGCUCCAUGACCCUCAAACUAGAACAAGACCUCUCCUCCCUAGGUCUGCAGCUUCCAGUCCCCAAAUAACAACAUUGCUCCUCCCUGGAUCUGCAGCUCCACGACCCUCAGACUAGAACAAGAUCUCUCCUCCCUGGGUCACCAGCUUCCGGACCCUGGAACUACAAAAACAUUGCUCCUCCCUGGGUCUGCAGCUCCACAACCCUCAAACUAAAACAAGAUCUCUCCUCCCUGUGUUGCCAGCUUCCGGACCCUCGAACUAUGACAACAUUGCUCCUCCCUGGGUCUGCAGCUCCACGACCCUCAAAGCAGAUCAAGAUCUCUCCUUCCUGUGUCAUCAGCUUCCUGACCCUUGAACUAUGACAACAUUGCUCCUCCCUGGGUCUGCAGCUCCAUGACUCUCAAACUAGAACAGCAGCACCAGCUCCUUCCUGGACCUCCAGGUCAAUGACUCUCAGACUUCAAAGGCAGCAGCAGCUCCACCCCCAGGCUCCAGCUCUAAAACCCUCAGAUGUGAGCAGUGGCAGCACCAGCUCCUUUCUGCGUCUCCGGCUUCAUGAUCCUUAAAUUAGAACAGCAGCGCCAUCUUCUCCCUGCGUCUCCAGCUCCAGGAACCUCAAACUGCAACAGGAGCACCUGUUCCUCUGGGAUUUUCACCUCCACGACCCUGAGGUGUCAGUGGCAGCACUGGCUCCUCCCCUGGGCUGCAGCUCCAGAACCCUCAAGAAUAAUCCCUUCUCAUGAAAUGUAGCAGUCAGGAAAACUGCAGAGGAA